GACGAACGCUGGCGGCGUGCCUAAUACAUGCAAGUAGAACGCACAGUUUAUACCGUAGCUUGCUACACCAUAGACUGUGAGUUGCGAACGGGUGAGUAACGCGUAGGUAACCUGCCUGGUAGCGGGGGAUAACUAUUGGAAACGAUAGCUAAUACCGCAUAAUAUUAAUUAUUGCAUGAUAAUUAAUUGAAAGGUGCAAUUGCACCACUACCAGAUGGACCUGCGUUGUAUUAGCUAGUAGGUGAGGUAACGGCUCACCUAGGCGACGAUACAUAGCCGACCUGAGAGGGUGAUCGGCCAAACUGGGACUGGGACAAGGCCCAGACUCCUACGGGAGGCAGCAGUAGGGAAUCUUCGGCAAUGGGCGGAAGUCUGACCGAGCAACGCCGCGUGAGUGAAGAAGGUUUUCGGGUCGUAAAGCUCUGUUGUAAGAGAAGAACGGGUGGGAGAGUGGAAAGUGCACACUGUGACGGUAUCUUACCAGAAAGGGACGGCUAACUACGUG
rnacentral:rRNA from 1 species